UUUUAUGGAGGAUGAGGACUGUUUCCUGAACCAGAAGCCUGCAAUGGGUCUGUGACACAACGGGUGUUUCUAUAAAGUUGGACAGUUCAAACUUUACAAGGACAGUCUGGCGCUUCUGACUCACAGUCUAGUCAUGGUUCAAGCCAAAAUCUGGGUUCUGAAGCAGCACUUUGAGGGCUUUCCUAAAGACACAGACUUUGAGCUGUCACUAGAGCAGCUCUCUGAGCCUAAUGAUGGAGAGGUUCUUCUAGAGGCAGUGUUCCUUAGUGUGGACCCUUACAUGCGACCAUUCAGCCGUGUUCGAAUGCAAGAAGGAGAUGUGAUGAUCGAAACUCAAGUUGCCAAAGUGAUUCAAAGUAAUAAUCCUUCAUUUCCUGUGGGCUGCCAUGGUUGGAGAACACAUACUGUGUCAGAUGGGAGCAAUAUCACCAGAGUCUUGGAUGCCUGGCCUCAGGAUGUCUCUCUCUCCCAUGCCCUGGGAGCCAUUGGCAUGCCAGGGUAAAACUCACUGCUUCUUUCAUACCCACAGUCAUUUCUUUUCCAGAUGGUUUUAGAAGGUAUGUCAAACGCUUAAUCGACUGUGAUUAUAGUCAUUUUCUGAUAUUUCAUUUAAGCACAUCAAAGAUCAUCCCAGAUGUUGUGAGUCAAUAUGGCUUGAGUUCUGGGAAAAAUAGGUGUGUAUUGUAAAUCACUUAUGGCUUAUGCAACAAACAUUUGUUGCCCACAUGUUCUCUGCUUUGUUGGAUUUGUUUUGGAUCGCUUUUAAACAUCUCCUCAGAAGUGUUUUUGGCUGAUAGCCAAAUGGAUUGUGUUAUUCUUUACUGACUGUUCACAAAAGAAAUUGCAGUAGGGCAUAGGCAGCACAUCACAGACUUCACAAAUAUACAUAACAGCUCAUAUCAAAAAAUGAAAAAUUUCCCUUUUCAGCUUAUUUACAAAAUAUACUUGGUCCUUUUUUAUUUGAGGCACCACACAUAAACGUUAUAUGAUAAAAUGAUUCAUCAGUAUUUAAUAAAUAACAUUAACUGUGCUCCAUAGGUUGACAGCGCUCUAUGGUUUGGAGGAGGUCUGUGCCAAACCAUAGAGAAAGCUUACUGCUGAAUGCAGCCACAGGGGCUGUUGGCUCUUUAGCGGGUCAAAUUGCCAAACUAAAAGGUUGCAAGGUUGUGGGUUCAACAGGAAGUGAUGAAAAGGUGGCAUACCUAAAAGAGCUAGGCUUCAACUACAAGACUGUCUCCUCACUAGAGGAAGUGCUGAAGAAUGCUUCACCUGAAGGAUAUGACUGCUACUUUGAGAGUGUUGGCUUUUUCGAGUGUUGCUAUUACCCAGACGUGGGGGAAUAUCACUAUAUAAUGACACCACUCCACAAUCAGGUCCUUAUCCACACCUUCAGAUGAUUUUUAAGCAGUUGAAAAUGGAAGGUUUCUUGGUAGGCAGGUGGGAACAUAAAAAUGAAGAGUCACUGAAGCGAAUGUUGACCUGGGUGCAAGAGGGAAAGCUGAAGUGUAAAGAACAUGUUACUGUUGGCUUUGAAAACAUGCCUGCUGCAUUCAUGGGGAUGCUGCAGGGAGAAAAUAUCAGAAAAGCAAUUGUUAAAGUCUAAUGGCAAGUGUUUCAGUGGUUUGCUCAUGAAGCAACAAUCUUGCCCAUUUUGUUAUAGAUACUGUAUUAAUAAUUGUAUAUUUUCAUGUUGCGUCCUUUAUUUUGUUUUACAAAUAAAGUCUGCACAAAACAGGAAUAAAAUUAUACUUUUUCUAAUAUUAGAAGCAUCAAGGAGAAUUUGAUCUCAAAAGAUUAGGCCUAUUAAGUCUUGCUCAGCAUUAUUCAGCAUUUGUAAAUUCUGUCAUAAAAAAACAGCAGAAUAUGCUGAGUCAUCAUGAACUACAUGAACCUCAGCAUAUAAAUCAUUAAUGGUCUUUAGACGGUCUUUAAAGUAAGACAGAUAGAGACAGGUUUCUAAAAAGCCAUUUUUUUCUAAGAAAGUUAUUUUGAUAAAUAAAUAAAUGCAUGAAUUUAAAAAUAAUUUGGUAUUUUUACUACCUGCACUGGGUGUUUGGUGGUAAUGUACAUUGACACAACACAAAUAUCUGUCUGAACACUGACAUCUUGUGGCUAUUUAUGAAGGAAUCGUAGUUCAUAGUGAAUGUUCAUGAAGAAAAGACCAGGUCAUCUUAUGUGUGGGGCAAAGAAAAGUUUUAUGUAUUUCAUCCAUGACAAAAUGUGUAGUAGCUUUUGUGUUACAUUGAUUAAGAAUAUAUUCAAAUACAUUUCAUUUUAGUGGUAGGCUAUAUGGAAUAAUGAUUUUGAUUUGGGCUUCUAGGUAGGAUCAAUCAUGGGAAAAUUGUUAAACAGUUCUCUGAUAUUGCUAGAAACAGCAACAAAUAAGAAAAUAAAAUAAAUUUUCAUCCACAAACUAGCAAUGUUCAAGUUUACCACUCACAGUGUGUUUUCACACCAGGAAAGUCCGCUAGUUCACUUGCUUUGGUCCCGACCAAAUAC